rnacentral:sRNA from 1 species
AAUUGUGGUCCGUACGCUCCUGCUCCUGACUCACCGCUGUUCGCUCUCGUAGAGGAACAAGUCGGUCAGGAAGCCGCGCAGCAGCCAUGGAUACCGGAAAAACACCCGUGGAGCCGGAAGUGGCAAUUCACCGAAUUCGAAUCACCCUAACAAGCCGCAACGUAAAAUCCUUGGAAAAGGACUUUGAGAAUCACUACAAGAAAAACUCCUUGUGGUGAAGGUUCUAAGACGUGGGAUCGUUUCCAGAUGAGAAUUCACAAGCGACUCAUUGACUUGCACAGUCCUUCUGAGAUUGUUAAGCAGAUUACUUCCAUCAGUAUUGAGCCAGGAGUUGAGGUGGAAGUCACCAUUGCAGAUGCUUAAGUCAACUAUUUUAAUAAAUUGAUUACCAGUUGUUAA